AUGACCACCUGCUUCUCUGAUCUGAUCAAGGAUCAUUCCCUAGAUUUUUUGUGCACGCAGGAGACUAUGAAGAGGAAAUUCUCUCCUAGUUUCUUUAGGAAAAUAGAUCCUUACAACACCUUUGAUUGGAGUUGGAUUCCAUCUGUUGGCAAGUCUGGGGGCUUGCUUUGUGGGGUCAAGAAGGAGAAAUUAGAAAUUGUUUCGUGGUCUAUGGGGAAAUAUAUUCUCCAAGUCACUGUCUUUGAUGUGGAUAAACAGUGUGUGUGGGCCUUAUUAAAUGUCUAUGGUGCUGCCCAUGAUAAACACAAGGAUGAAUUCCUUGUGGAGCUGGCUAGCUUUUGUAGCCACUUAUCCAUGCCUUACAUAGUGGGUGGAGAUUUUAACAUUCUUCAUUGCGGAGAGAAGAACAAAAAGAUAGUGGCCUCCCAUUAUAUAGACAUAUUUAAUGCCAUCAUUAGUACCAUGUGCUUUCGAGAGUUAUAUGUUAAGGGGGGUAUGUUCACUUGGUUUAAUAACCAAGCCCACCCUACUUUAGAAAAGCUGGAUAGGAUUCUUAUAAAUAAUGAUUGGGAAGACUUGUUCCCCUUGGUUACUGCUAGAAAACUUGUCAGCGACGUUUCUGACCAUAAUCCUCUCCUUAUGACUACCAAUGGUAUUCAACCUGAGUCGCCUAAACCAAAGAAAUUUAGGUUUGAGAUGAUUUGGAUGGCCAGUGAGGAGUUCCUACCGUUGGUUAGGAAAAUUUGGCAGAGACCAGUUAAGUCUUCUGACCCCAUUGAUGUGCUUAAUAUCAAAUUGAAACAUUUCAAAAAGUUUUUUAAAGGAUGGGGCUCUGAUAAAUUUGGUCACAAUAAGAAGAGGAAAAAAGUGAUCAAUGAUGAGCUUGCUUCCAUAGAGUCUAUGGAGGAGCAAGGCCCUCUUGAUCCUGAUAUCUUAGAUAAGAGAGCUACUCUUAGUGGUGAGCUCCAACAACUUAUGGUGAAUGAAGAACUGUACUGGCUCCAAAAGUCACAUGAAACAUGGCUGUUGAAAGGGGACCAAAAUACUGCCUUCUACCAUAGGAUUUUCAAUGGUAAAAAGAGAAAAAACACCAUCCAUUCCUUUUCAUGUGGUGACAGCACUAUUGAGGGGACUGGUAACUUACUCAAACAUGCCAUAGGGUUUUAUAAAGAUUUGUUUGGACCAACUUCAGGGAAUCUUUUCCACUUAGACCCUGAUAGUUGGGGAGAUAAUGAAAAACUUACGGCAGAGGAUACUGAUUUUUUGACCAGACCCUUUAGUGAGGAAGAGGAGAAAAAAGCUCUAUUCUCUAUGGACAGUACAUAG
rnacentral:rRNA from 1 species